GGCGCACGGGUGAGUAACACGUGAGCAACCUGCCGGGAAGCCCGGGAUAGCCCUCCGAAAGGAGGAUUAAUACCGGAUGUGGCCACCCUGCGAUUGCAGGGGAAGCUAAAGGAUUUAUUCACUUCCCGAGGGGCUCGCGGCCCAUCAGCUUGUUGGUGAGGGUAACGGCCCACCAAGGCGACAACGGGUAGCUGGUCUGAGAGGAUGGUCAGCCACACUGGAACUGAGACACGGUCCAGACACCUACGGGUGGCAGCAGUCGAGAAUCAUUCGCAAUGGGGGAAACCCUGACGAUGCGACGCCGCGUGGAGGAUGAAGGCCUUAGGGUUGUAAACUCCUGUCAAGAGGGAAUAAGCAAGUGAAGGUACCUCUAGAGGAAGGGGCGGCUAAUUCCGUGCCAGCAGCCGCGGUAACACGGAAGCCCCGAGCGUUGUUCGGACUCAUUGGGCGUAAAGGGUGCGUAGGCGGCGCGGAAAGUCCGGCGUGAAAGGCAGGGGCUCAACCUCUGGACUGCGUUGGAUACUUCCGUGCUUGAGGACUGGAGGGGAGACUGGAAUUCACGGUGUAGCAGUGAGAUGCGUAGAUAUCGUGAGGAAGACCGGUGGCGAAGGCGAGUCUCUGGACAGAUCCUGACGCUGAGGCACGAAGGCUGGGGGAGCGAACAGGAUUAGAUACCCUGGUAGUCCCAGCAGUAAACGAUGUGAGCUUGAUGUGGGGGGGUUCGACCCCUUCCGUGUCGAAGCUAACGCGAUAAGCUCACCGCCUGAGGAGUACGGCCGCAAGGCUAAAACUCAAAGAAAUUGACGGGGACCCGCACAAGCGGUGAAGUAUGCGGCUUAAUUCGAUGCAACGCGAAGAACCUUACCUGGCCUUGACAUGCAUUGUGUCGUCGGUGAAAGCCGGCUAGUCCUGGAAACAGGACUCUUUGCACAGGUGUUGCAUGGCAGUCGUCAGCUCGUGUCGUGAGAUGUUGGGUUAAGUCCCGCAACGAGCGCAACCCUUGUGGUCAGUUACUAACCGGCUUAGCCGGAGGACUCUGGCCAGACUGCCCUGUCAAACGGGGAGGAAGGUGGGGAGGACGUCAAGUCAGUAUGGCCCUUAUGGCCAGGGCUGCACACGUACUACAAUGCCCGGUACAAUGUGAACCGAAACCGCGAGGUGGAGGAAAUCGCUCUUGAAAACCGGGCCCAG
rnacentral:rRNA from 1 species